rnacentral:lncRNA from 1 species
UGGGUCCAAAUCUAAAGAACAGAGAAGGAAGUAAGAUCCAAGGUAAUCAUGGUCUAACGAGGGGCACAACGGGCCCGACUUCACAAGGAACUCGACCCAAAGAGGAACAGAGCUUUUUGACUUAGUAACACUGAACCAUUGGGGCCUAACGGAUUGGCCCUGGUUCAGAGCAGGUGCAGUCUCUCUGGCCACUUGCUGACAGGAAGCAUGCGGGAGUGGAAACAAAGAGCUGGGAGAAGCACUGGGCGCUAAGAGGCUUUCAGAGGCUCCUGUUGCUAGGGAACCACUUCCUCUGUGUUCGAACGCAGCCAACUCAAGCUAUUCAGACGUCACCAGAAUAAUCUUUCCUGCGCCUCUCCGGCUAUGCGGAGGGGUGGAGCUCUCAACACUUGGCUGUCAUGGUAACACCAAGCCAUGCCCAGCUUUUCCAACUGAAGCAAAGAGCCGGGGGUGUGGGAGAGAACAACACUGAAUGUGCAUCUUGUUUCAAUUCAGAGAGGCAGACGACUUACCCCUCCGCCUUUAUCUAUCCAGCGCAAACCUCUCCAAGUGAAAGAAAAAUGGGGUGUCAAGCAUUAGAGAAAGAGCAGGAAACUUCCAGCACCUGAAAUGCACCCCCAGAGUUCCCCAGUGGGAUGAAGAUUCCAUCUGCGAAGUGAUUCUUUCCUAAUAACUAGUGCCUUCUUGGUGCUUCUCCAUGCUCUUUCAUAUCUUUCUACCACCCGCGCUUGCUGAGUACGACCCUAAAAUACACGUGCUGUGCUAGAGUCCCAGGCUCGGGGUCAGCUGCAGGGGAGCCGAUGCAUCACUGCGUAGGAAAUAGAGCUUCCCUACAGGGUACUUGGAAAUAGAGCUUCAGAGCUGGGCUACAACCGCAGUCAUAAAUACCAGGGUUUUGUGGAUAAAAAGGAAAAUAUAAACAGCUGCCCUAUCUCUGCUGGAGGAAAUAAGACUUAUCCCCAAGUUACUGGAAAGUAC